AAAGUCGUAACAAGGUUUCCGUAGGUGAACCUGCGGAAGGAUCAUUAGUGAUUGUGAAUCGUUACCUUCAGCGCUGGCUGCUCUUGCAGCAAGUGCACGUUGGUGACUUUCAUCCAAAUACCCUCUGUGAACCUUUGGCCUCUUGUUAGCUUCGGCUGACGGAGGAUUUUUACACAUUAACUCGAAUGUAAUGAAAUCUUACUGUUGUGCGCAAGCACGAAAUGUACAACUUUCAACAACGGAUCUCUUGGCUCUCGCAUCGAUGAAGAACGCAGCGAAAUGCGAUAAGUAAUGUGAAUUGCAGAAUUCAGUGAAUCAUCGAAUCUUUGAACGCACCUUGCACCCUUUGGUAUUCCGAAGGGUAUGCUCGUUUGAGUGUCAUUGUACUCUCACACUCUCUACUGUGACUACUUGCAUUAGGAGUGGUGGACUUGGGUGUUGCUGCUCUGCGGUGGCUCACCUCAAAUGUAGUAGUGCACCUCCUGGUUGGACAUAGUACGGCGUGAUAAGUGUCUUCGCCGGCACCUCGAAAGAGGGUGGCUGAUUAGGAGCUCUGUGCUUCUCUAACUGUCUUCGGACACUCUCUGACAACUUGACCUCAAAUCGAGUAGGACUACCCGCUGAACUUAAGCAUAUCAAUAAGCGGAGGAAAAGAAACUAACAAGGAUUCCCC
rnacentral:rRNA from 1 species